CCUACGGGUGGCAGCAGUGAGGAAUAUUGGUCAAUGGCCGGAAGGCUGAACCAGCCAUGCCGCGUGAAGGUCAGUGCCCUAUGGGCGUUAAACUUCUUUUGUGCGGGAGCAAUAAUGGUCACGUGUGGCCAGACGAGAGUACCGUACGAAUAAGCAUCGGCUAACUCCGUGCCAGCAGCAGCGGUAAUACGGGGAUGCAAGCGUUAUCCGGAUUUAUUGGGUGUAAAGGGUGCGUAGACGGGAAAACAAGUUAGUUGUGAAAUCCCUCGGCUUAACUGAGGAACUGCAACUAAAACUAUUUUUCUUGAGUGCAGGAGAGGUAAGUGGAAUUCCUAGUGUAGCGGUGAAAUGCGUAGAUAUUAGGAGGAACACCAGUGGCGAAGGCGACUUACUGGACUGUAACUGACGUUGAGGCACGAAAGCGUGGGUAGCAAACAGGAUUAGAUACCCUUGUAGUC
rnacentral:rRNA from 1 species